rnacentral:tRNA from 1 species
GGAGCUGUGCCUGAAACAAAGGGUCACUUUGAUGGGGUGAAUAAUGAGGGUUAAACUCCCUCCAACUCCU